GGCGCGGGUGGCGGGUAGGCGGCUCCGGGGGCCGGCGCGGCCCCGGGCGCUGCGGGCGGGGAAAGGGGCCUCGCCGCGGGAGGACCCGCCUGGUGUCGGCAACAUGGCAGCGUCCAGCCGGGCCCAGGUGCUGCGGCUGUACCGGGCCCUGCUGCGGGAGAGCCAGCGCUUCAGCGGCUACAACUACAGAACGUAUGCCAUUAGAAGGAUAAGAGAUGCCUUCAGAGAAAACAAGAAUAUAAAGGAUUCUGAAAAAAUAGAAGAACUAGUGAAUAAAGCCAAAGUAAACCUAGAGGUUAUUCAUCGGCAGACCCAAAUAGCAGUGGACUGGAGAAGAAAAUCUGCUUAGACAGAAACCUGGCAGGAUGCUGACCACAUUGGUUGUGUCAGUCUUACUAUGUUUUAUGGGCCACACUGAAGACAAUAUAAAAAUUAAAAGCCCUGCCUAAUGAGCAGUGGAGAAAGACUUAAUAGUUAAUGCUGUUAUUUUCUAAUCAAAUGAGAGCUAGUGUGAACACCAGGAUAGGAAAAGAGAGAAGUAGGGAAGCAGCUAUUUGGUUUUUUUGCAAUUUUACUUGUCAUUUUAAUUGACAUCCUAAAGGUGAACUGCAAUUUUUCAAGUAAACAUACAUAUACAUAUAAACAUUCAGAUAAAAGUUAUUAAUGUUGUUAAACUCAAAUAUGAUAUAAAUUUAAUUAUUUUAAUAUCUUACUGUGUAGGGCCUAAUUUUACAAUGCUACUUGUGAAAGGAACUGUUGACUAAAUUAGUUAUCUGAAAUGCUGUAGAAUUAAAUGGUAUUUUACAUAGAGUUAGAGAUACACCAUUUGCUUAAACUGAAAAUGAGAUUAGAAAAAUAAAUACUUAUUUGGGGAAAGAACAACAGGUGAGGAGUUGAAAGAGCUGGAGAAUGAAUAUGACUAACCUCUUUAAGCAGUCGGAACAGUAGGAAAUAAGUAUUUGUACACUUGAUGAUAACGAACCAUCUUUAGCAAGGGGUGAGUAAAAAAUUCACGAGGGUCUCAGUCCUAGGAAACAAAAGGACUGAUUUAAACAUCCAAAUCUUGGUGCAGGUAGCAAAGUUCCCUGUCAUUUGAGCAAUUCAAGAUCAGACAUGUCCGCAUUCCCGUUCCUCUUGUCUUUCUUGUUCUCCAUCCUGGCUCCAUCCUCACAUAGUACUCCAGCUUAGUAUUCUAAAAUACUGUAUUUCUCUGUAUUUCAAAUAAGAUACUGUUAGUUGAAAACUGUUGUUAAUAGAUGGAUAGUUUUUAUUUCAAUUCUUUGAACUUGUAUGAGAGAAAAAUAGCUGGCAAACAGGUGAGUUAAACACUAGUAUGAAGCCUGAUGCCAUCCUACCCUGUGUUGUAAUUGAAAUUUCUAUUUCUGUAAUUCCUAUCCUCUGCUUACUAAUGGAAAAAAUCAUGUGUUGCCCAGGUCCUAAAAAAAAAAAAUAUCAGACCCAGAGAUUUUGUUGUCAGUAUACAAAACUGAGAUGUCUGUAGUCUAACAUCAAGGCUAGCUUUUAUAUGAAAUGACAAAUUAAAAUAUUAAAUGUUUCAGUUUUAGUCUAGCAGCCAUUCUGUUGACUUCUUGCAAACGUUAAAAGUAAUAAAUUAAGCCUGUCCCUCCUUUUUCGAAUGAGACAAAGCUGAUAAGACACAACUAUCUAAUGAACAAAAUUACAGUGGCUACCAAAUCAAGUCGCAUUAAAGCAAGCAUGUGUAAUCAAUCUCUUUGUGAAGGGUAAAGCAAUUCUGAAGACAAAACCAUCGACACUUUCUUUAGCAUGGCAGAUUAAGUAUAUUCAUGUUCCAUGUAGAGGGCUUUGUGGUAGGGUGCUUGUGUGAAUAAGUUAUAUUUAGUUUCAAAAGCAGGCAUCCUGGGGUGCAGCUGAUAUGGCAUGUCAGCCCAGACACUUCUGCACGGGUUCUGAGCUAGAGGUCGUUUGCAUCCAAGUCUGAAAGGGUGCUUAGCAUGUGCAUCUCCUGUUGUAAAGCUGAAAGCUCUGGGUGGGGGAAUGAUGGGGCUUGAAGAAAUACCCAGUAACCAUUGCCACCAUUGUGCUUGCUGAUAUGCAAACAAGGAGCCUUUGAAACUCAGCUGAUCAGACUUCAGUGAUGGUACUUCCAAUUUCAAAGGUUACCAUUGGCCAACUGUAUUCCACACAGAAAUUGGUUAUUGAGAGUCCAGGAAACACAUAGCUGUGAGAAGUCUCUGAUCCUGAAGCAACGCUGGACCAUCUUCAGCAUCCUACAGUGCCACAUACAGAUGCGUAAACUCACUGCACAUGUCUGAGCUUUUCUGUUCAGCAGAAAAAAUGCUUGAGAGACUCAGUUUUUGCAACCAAAAUACUACUUUUUAAUGGUUCACAUGUUCUAAAAUAUAUUGCUGUGACUUAUAAUGGCAUGUAAGGUAGUCUUGAAAUCUGUUUGCUUGUAUGUCCCAUGUGAUUGAAUAGUUCCUGCCCUACUUUGACAAUAAAACUUCAUUAAACUACCUGUAACCAGA